UGGGCGAUCUGCCCUGCACUUCGGGAUAAGCCUGGGAAACUGGGUCUAAUACCGGAUAGGACCACGGGAUUCAUGUCCUGUGGUGGAAAGCUUUUGCGGUGUGGGAUGGGCCCGCGGCCUAUCAGCUUGUUGGUGGGGUAACGGCCUACCAAGGCGACGACGGGUAGCCGGCCUGAGAGGGUGUCCGGCCACACUGGGACUGAGAUACGGCCCAGACUCCUACGGGAGGCAGCAGUGGGGAAUAUUGCACAAUGGGCGCAAGCCUGAUGCAGCGACGCCGCGUGGGGGAUGACGGCCUUCGGGUUGUAAACCUCUUUCACUAUCGACGAAGGUUCGGGUUUUCUCGGAUUGACGGUAGAUGGAGAAGAAGCACCGGCCAACUACGUGCCAGCAGCCGCGGUAAUACGUAGGGUGCGAGCGUUGUCCGGAAUUACUGGGCGUAAAGAGCUCGUAGGUGGUUUGUCGCGUUGUUCGUGAAAUCUCACGGCUUAACUGUGAGCGUGCGGGCGAUACGGGCAGACUAGAGUACUGCAGGGGAGAUUGGAAUUCCUGGUGUAGCGGUGGAAUGCGCAGAUAUCAGGAGGAACACCGGUGGCGAAGGCGGGUCUCUGGGCAGUAACUGACGCUGAGGAGCGAAAGCGUGGGGAGCGAACAGGAUUAGAUACCCUGGUAGUCCACGCCGUAAACGGUGGGUACUAGGUGUGGGUUUCCUUCCUUGGGAUCCGUGCCGUAGCUAACGCAUUAAGUACCCCGCCUGGGGAGUACGGCCGCAAGGCUAAAACUCAAAGGAAUUGACGGGGGCCCGCACAAGCGGCGGAGCAUGUGGAUUAAUUCGAUGCAACGCGAAGAACCUUACCUGGGUUUGACAUGCACAGGACGCGUCUAGAGAUAGGCGU
rnacentral:rRNA from 1 species